rnacentral:rRNA from 1 species
CUUCGUCUCUAGUUUGAUGCAGUCGAGCGGAGCGACAAUAACAAUCCUUCGGGUGCGUUAAUGGGCGUCGAGCGGCGGACGGGUGAGUAAUGCCUAGGAAAUUGCCUUGAUGUGGGGGAUAACCAUUGGAAACGAUGGCUAAUACCGCAUGAUGCCUACGGGCCAAAGAGGGGGACCUUCGGGCCUCUCGCGUCAAGAUAUGCCUAGGUGGGAUUAGCUAGUUGGUGAGGUAAUGGCUCACCAAGGCGACGAUCCCUAGCUGGUCUGAGAGGAUGAUCAGCCACACUGGAACUGAGACACGGUCCAGACUCCUACGGGAGGCAGCAGUGGGGAAUAUUGCACAAUGGGCGAAAGCCUGAUGCAGCCAUGCCGCGUGUAUGAAGAAGGCCUUCGGGUUGUAAAGUACUUUCAGUUGUGAGGAAGGGGGUGUAGUUAAUAGCUGCAUCUCUUGACGUUAGCAACAGAAGAAGCACCGGCUAACUCCGUGCCAGCAGCCGCGGUAAUACGGAGGGUGCGAGCGUUAAUCGGAAUUACUGGGCGUAAAGCGCAUGCAGGUGGUUCAUUAAGUCAGAUGUGAAAGCCCGGGGCUCAACCUCGGAACUGCAUUUGAAACUGGUGAACUAGAGUACUGUAGAGGGGGGUAGAAUUUCAG